GACGAACGCUGGCGGCGUGCUUAACACAUGCAAGUCGAACGGAAAGGCCCUGCUUUUGUGGGGUGCUCGAGUGGCGAACGGGUGAGUAACACGUGAGUAACCUGCCCUUGACUUUGGGAUAACUUCAGGAAACUGGGGCUAAUACCGGAUAGGAGCUCCUGCUGCAUGGUGGGGGUUGGAAAGUUUCGGCGGUUGGGGAUGGACUCGCGGCUUAUCAGCUUGUUGGUGGGGUAGUGGCUUACCAAGGCUUUGACGGGUAGCCGGCCUGAGAGGGCUACCGGCCACAUUGGGACUGAGAUACGGCCCAGACUCCUACGGGAGGCAGCAGUGGGGAAUAUUGCACAAUGGGCGGAAGCCUGAUGCAGCAACGCCGCGUGCGGGAUGACGGCCUUCGGGUUGUAAACCGCUUUCGCCUGUGACGAAGCGUGAGUGACGGUACUGGGUCAAGAAGCACCGGCUAACUACGUG
rnacentral:rRNA from 1 species